CAUAUACUUCCUCCGUCCAACAAAAGAUGUCUCAAGUUUGUUAAAAUUUGAAUGUAUCUAGACAUGACUUAGUGUACAGAUGCAUUUAAAUUUGAUCAAAAUUGAGACAUUUUUUGUUGGACGGAGGGAGUAUAUG
rnacentral:pre_miRNA from 1 species